CAGGGCUCAUCCCCACCGUGUCGUAGCCGCCAUCAUCGCCCAAAUCCUCGCUCGCCCCACGCCGCGCCGAAAUCCUCAUGCCCCACGCCUGCCCCUGCCCCUGCCUCCCAAACCGCGCCCAUUCGAACCGGCCGCCCGAAUCUAGCGCAAGCACGCAGGCGGUGAUGACGGCCACGGGAGACAGCCGGCGCUCGGCGUGAUUCCCGCCCCGCCGCGAGCCAAGAGGUUCGAGGUCAAGUUCGCGGACCCCCCGCCGUGCCCCGCGCUCCCACGCCCGCACAGGCAUCUAGCCCCCAUCCCCCUCCCGCUCGAGAUAUCCGCCGAUCUAGCCUGUCGGGGGGUCCGCGACGUGUGGAAGGGUGAGCAUCGACGAUGGCGGUAGAAGAGGAGGAAGCCUUCGAUGGUGCGCUCACCGACGAGCAGCUGCGAGAGAUGAACUCAUCCCUCUGCUUGAUGUCCUAGCAAACAAAGUGAACGCUAUCAGGAGGCUUAGGGAACUCUUGACAACCAAUCUUCCUACAGGCACAUUUCCAGUCAAGGAAGUCAUAGCUGCUACAAUGAUAAGAAGAAAGUAGAGGAAAAGGAACAGAUCUCGACUGUAAUUCUGCAGAUGAAGCAUACCAAUAAAAAGGCAUAUGACCAGACUCUGUAACAAUAUCUGCACAUCAGUACCUUGGCAGACUCUCCAAGCAGCAAACAAAGUGAAGGCUAUCUGGAGGCUUAGUGAACUCUUGACAACCAAACUUCCUACAGGCACAUUUCCAGUCAAGGGAGAUGAGCUCACCUUGGCAAUGGUAGUUAAUCUUAUUAAUGCAAACAAGGAUGAUUAAUUUGAUGUACUUUUCUAUGCCUCGUGGUGCCCAUUCUCACAAGAAUGCAUUUGAGGAAUCUGCAAUUAGGCCAAGGCGUCCCACACAGGUGUUUCUUCCAUAAGAAGACUACCGACAUGGGAUACGUCUCUUCAGUUUGUUUGUCAAUAUUUUGUAGGAAUCAGAAGAGGUGUUCAACAUGUGGGUUAAUUUUGUUUUCAAGUGUGCUCCUCUAAUGACACCCUUUUCUUUUUUGGAGUACCUUUUGAUAAUAACAAAUUUGGGUUCUAUUUUUGUUUCUAGACUCAAGUCUAGAGUUCCAUGAAU